rnacentral:lncRNA from 1 species
GCGGCGGUGGUACAGUCCGAGACGUCCCCGGCUAUAAAUAGCGCCAGGCGCAUGGCUCUUCGGGAGGUGCUGAGAUUCCGGGGCCCGGCGGCCGUGGGCAGCGGGUGCCCGUUAGGAAGCGGGCAGUCGGCCUCCUCUCGUUGCCCUUUGGGGGUUCUUUUUGUAAUAGCAGCAGAAAUGAGACCCCAGCAGCCUGUAAACCCAGGCCAAGCCAUCGUGGUACAACCACAAAACGGUACUCUCCAGCGCCAGAGGAGGCCGGAGGCCCUGAGGUUCCCAGCCCUGAGAUUUAAAUCUUGCAAUCACUGCUGGGAAGUGAGCUGUAUCAUCUUGAGAAAUCAGACCACAGAGAUGGGCCUGCAGCUGGCAGGCUGGGUCAUCUUUAAUCGCUUAACCCUUCAUAUCAAAGGAUGGCUUGUAGCAGUGGAUUCCUUCUCCAGAAUUUGCCAUGGCAGAUUUUUCUCAAGGAAAAGCUAAUCUAAAGUGGUCAAUAAAUAGCCCUGCUGCUUAAUCGAUUAUGAACCCAGCUCUUCAGAAAGCUACUCCUCAGCAGCCCUGUGACCCGUGCUGGAAGCCAGCCCUUGUCUGCUGAGUUUCAGAAUCUGGCUGCACACACCUCGGACCUUCCUGGUCCUAAAGCCCCACAUACCCACCAGGUAGCCCAAUAUCUUUACUCCCUGGCAUGUGUUAUGUUUCCCCAUUCUACUUGGGGCUCCAGAAGGGAAUGUUUUAAUUGCUAUGAGAGGAAUUUGAUUGUAUUUCUGAUGUGGAAAUUGAAAAUACAUUGAAUGUUAAUAGACUACCAAAAUGAUCUCUCAUUCAAAAGGUCUGCAGACUGCCUCUAUGGGCUGGGAAGAGGUAGUAGCUACACCAAAGAAAGAAAACCGCUGGUAUUUUAAUCGUGAC